rnacentral:rRNA from 1 species
UACGUAGGGUGCAAGCGUUAAUCGGAAUUACUGGGCGUAAAGCGUGCGCAGGCGGUAAUGUAAGACAGAUGUGAAAUCCCCGGGCUCAACCUGGGACCUGCAUUGUGACUGCAUUGCUGGAGUGCGGCAGAGGGGGAUGGAAUUCCGCGUGUAGCAGUGAAAUGCGUAGAUAUGCGGAGGAACACCGAUGGCGAAGGCAAUCCCCUGGGCCUGCACUGACGCUCAUGCACGAAAGCGUGGGGAGCAAACAGG